UAGCAAGUCGACCAAAGGCGAAAGCAGUCAUCAAGGGCAUACCCGUUGAUCAAGAGCGAAAGUUAAGGGUUCGAAGACGAUCAGAUACCGUCGUAGUCUUAACUAUAAAUGAUACUGACUAGGGAUAGGACACCGUCCAUCUCGACUCCUCCCGAACCUUAGAGAAAUCAAAGUCUUUGAGUUCUGGGGGGAGUAUGGUCGCAAGGCUGAAACUUAAAGGAAUUGACGGAAGGGCACACAAAGAGUGGAACCUGCGGCUUAAUUUGACUCAACACGGGAAAACUCACCAGGUCCGGAUACACGUAUGAAAGACAAGCUGAAAGACUUUUCUCAAUGAUGUAAGUGGUGGUGCAUGGUCGUUCUUAGUUCGUGGAGUGGUUUGUCUGGUUUAUUCCGAUAACGAGCGAGACCCCGGCGUUCCUAAUAGGGGUGGCAGCCCAGCUUGUGCCUCGGCGCUUGCUAGCACGCCACCUCGCAAUUGCUUCUUAGACGUAUCAGAGCCGAUAAGGUUCUUGAAAUGGGUUAAUAACAGGUCAGUCAUGCCCUUAGAUGUUCUGGGCCGCACGCGCGUUACAAUGGUAGGCUUAAACAGUGCCUUUUACGGGCGUUCCCGGGGCCGACGGGUCCCGGUAACCCCUAGUCUCUCCCUUGACUGGGCCAGACUAUUGCAAUUAUUGGUCUCAAACGAGGAAUUUUUAGUAAUCGCAGGUCAUUAACCUGCGAUGAA
rnacentral:rRNA from 1 species